rnacentral:rRNA from 1 species
CCUACGGGAGGCAGCAGUGGGGAAUUUUGGACAAUGGGCGCAAGCCUGAUCCAGCAAUGCCGCGUGAGUGAAGAAGGCCUUCGGGUUGUAAAGCUCUUUUGUCAGGGAAGAAACGGUGGAGGCUAAUAUCCUUUGCUAAUGACGGUACCUGAAGAAUAAGCACCGGCUAACUACGUGCCAGCAGCCGCGGUAAUACGUAGGGUGCAAGCGUUAAUCGGAAUUACUGGGCGUAAAGCGUGCGCAGGCGGUUUUGUAAGUUUGUCGUGAAAUCCCCGGGCUCAACCUGGGAAUGGCGAUGAAGACUGCAAGGCUAGAAUCUGGCAGAGGGGGGUAGAAUUCCACGUGUAGCAGUGAAAUGCGUAGAGAUGUGGAGGAACACCGAUGGCGAAGGCAGCCCCCUGGGUCAAGAUUGACGCUCAUGCACGAAAGCGUGGGGAGCAAACAGGAUUAGAUACCCUGGUAGUCCACGCCCUAAACGAUGUCUACUAGUUGUCGGGUUUUAAUUAACUUGGUAACGCAGCUAACGCGUGAAGUAGACCGCCUGGGGAGUACGGUCGCAAGNUUAAAACUCAAAUGAAAUUGACCGGNNGAGAGAGCGAGACGACGACGAGGGAGGAGG